GCAAUAUAAUAUAUUUUUUUGUCAAAUUUUAUUUUAAAUUUAAAUAAAAAAUAAAUAUGACUUUUGGUAUUAUAUUUCUAUAAAAAAAUAGUAUAAUUAUUUAAUUGAAACAUUUUUUAUUUCUAAAAAAUACGUAUGACUAUUAACAUUUAUUAUAUUUUAUCAGUAACUAUAAUAAAAUUAGUUAAUGUAUGUUUUAUUUCAAUUUUAUACAAAUUGAUUAAGUUUAUGUGUACAACAAACCCAAUUUUGAAAGGAAUAAAAUACUUUGGUAUUUUCAUUUCAAACUCUUAUUCUUUUAUUGUUUUAUUUUUCAUUCAAACAAAUGCAAUUGUCAGAUGUAAAAAUAGCCUUUUACUAAAACAAGAUACAUUCAAAAAUGAAAUACUUUGGUAAUUAUUAGAAAAAUAUACUUUACUUAUUCAAUAUAUUUUUUGUUUUUUAAAGUUUUGGUUCAAACAUCUUAAUAGUUAUGGUGCAUUGAUAAAUCAGUCACAAAUUUUUUAAAAAUCAUUAAAAAUAUCUAAAAUAAAUUUGAAAAUUGUAUAUUCAGUUGUGGUGUAUCCAAUUAACACAAAGAUAUACAUUAGACGAAUUUAAGACAUAUUAUUAGGUUUAUGUUAAUUAGGAAAUUAACAUCUAUAAUACAUAGUUAUUAAAAGAGAUAUGUUUUCCUAUACUUUUUUAAAUAAUAUCAUAUGUAUUUAUUCCUAUAUUAUAAGUUAUAUAAUAUCAUAUAUUCAGUAAAAAUCGUUUUGACUGAAUAAAUUUACAUUAUUCCGAAAGGUAAAAAUAUUUCAAUUUAUCUUAUUAUUUUUUUGUUUUCAUAUGUUUAAAAUAUUAAUGCAAACAUUUAUAAAAAAAAAUUUGUUUUAAUAUAAAUAUAUUUUGGGGAAAUUUUACUUAUACACUUUGUUUGAUACCACAAUUCAAUUUUACCAUCAAUCAAAGGACAUUUUCACAAAUACCACUUUCAUUAAUGACCAAAAGACAAUACUACCAUUAUCUUAUCUUCUCCUCAAUCAUCGAUUCUUCUCUCUUCUCUCGGAGUCACCGAGAUCCGCCGUCUCUUUGUCUCACGCAGCGGCGACGAAAGAGAUUGCAGAGAAUCUCAAUUCCAAACCUCUAAAAUAUCGACUCAUUUACGAGAUUCAAUACCAAGUUAAACUUAACAGCUCAAAGAAGUGAUUAUCAAUCAAAACCGAAGCUUCCAUGAGCGAUAUGAUCCUCAUCGAAUCCAGAAACUUUGGUUCUUAAAGCUAUUGAAGGCUGUUACCACUGUUCCCCUUCCGCCAUAGCCAUCGAUGGAAGAAGACUAGAAGAGUAUUCAUUUUGUUACUAGAAGCUUUGAUUGAGAUCAGCCCCAAUCUCACAAACAAUUUUGAUGGAUAAUUCAAAAGUAAUUGCAGCUGUUUAUGGCCCAAGAGAGAUUCAAUACAAAAGCCAACAAAAGAAUGGUCAUAUAUUGAACCGGCUUGUUACGCUCAUCACAUAUGUCAAACCUGAAUAGCUACGAGAUGUUAUGUCAGGAGGAUGGUUCUUUGUGCUUCAAAUGAAGACCACUUAGUGGUGGAACCAUUGCCACCACCUGCUGGAGCUAAACCAGGAGAGCGUGUUUCAUUUUCAGGGUAUAUAAUAUAGUGUAAAUUGGCUUAACACCAAACCUCUUUUGAUUGCUUUGGGUACAUACUUUGUAACAUCACUUACUUAAGAACCCUUAUGUCUUAAUAUUUAUAUAGAGUCGAAGGAAAGCCAGAAGAACCCUUACUUUCUAAAUUUUUAUAACUAAUUUAUAGACCUUUAUAAAAUGAUCUAUAAAUUAUUAUAACUGAACUCUAAACUCUUAUAAAUGAUUUAUAAAUAUUUAUGAACUCUCUUAUAAAUGAUUUAGAAGUAUUUAAAAAUAUUAAUAAACCCUUAUAAAAAUAACUUAUAAACUCUAUAACCAUUUAUCAACUCUUAUAAUAUUAUUUAUAAACGUUUAUAAAAUUAUCUAUGAGCACCUGUAUAUGAUUUAUAGGACCCUACUAGAUCAUUAUAACUUUUUAAAGGCUUAUAAAUUAUUUAUAAGAGUCUUUUUAAAUCUUUAUAAUUGAUUUCUAAAUCGUUACAAAAUAAUGUAUAAAUAUCUAUAGCUGAGUCGUAAAAUCUUUUAAAUUAUUAACAAAUAUUUAUGAACUAUUAUAAAUAAUUUAAAAGCCUUUAUAAAUUUUUAUAGCUAAUAUAUAAAUCUUUAUAAAAUAAGUUAUAAACCCUUACAAAUUAGUUUAUGAAUCAUGCCUGAUAAAUGAUUUAUAAGUCUUUAUAAAUUAUUUUAUGGUUUCUUUUUAAUUUAAAUUACCCAAAUCCUUCUAUACUCUAUUUUACUUAAAAUCAACCAUUUCUACUUUGAACUGAUGCUUACAAUUAGGGACACAUAACUCAGAUACAAGGAGUUAUAAAACCAUUUAUUAGGUUCAAUUUAUAAGGCUUUCUAAAUAUCGUUUAAAGUAUAAUUCAUUUAUAAGAGGGAAAAUUGCAAACUAGCACAUCUGAAGUACACUUGUUCAUGUUUACACUAUUAAGAUGUCCAUUUUUAAAAGCACCUAAACUGUAAGGAAACAAAAGACAAUUAUAUCCUCUAAUCUAUUUCUAUUCAUGGUGAGAGACGAGAUCUCGUCGACGAGUUUUAAACUGCCUCCAUGGGUGGACUACAUCAUCUUUGUCGGUGGACUACCGUGCUCCGUCAGAUCAAAAGUAGCUGGAUCAUAAUCGACCAUCUAUAAAGUUUAUAAAACACAUAUAAGUAUUUAUAUAACUAUUUAUAAAGGUUACCAUUUAUGAACCAUUUAUAAAUUUUAUAAGAGCUUAUAAAACUUUGUAUCAACCAUCUAUAAAAUUUAUAAAACACAUAUAAAUAUUUAUAUAUCUAUUUAUAAAGGUUUAUAAAACUAUUUAAAAGGUUUAUAAAACUAUUUACAAGAACUUAUAAGCUAUUUAUAAGAGUUUAUACAUUUAUUUGUAACUGUUUAUAAAUUAAUUUACAAGGUUUAUAAAUCUAUUUAUAAGAGGUUAUAAAUCUAUUUAUCAGGGUUUAUUCCAAGGAUUAUAAGAAUUUAAUAAUAUUCAUAACACAAUUUAUAAGAGUAUAAAUCAAUUUAGAAGUGUUUAUAAAUCAAUUUAGAAGUGUUUAUAAAGGAUCAUACAAGCCACUCUUUAUGACCUGAAGGCCAUCAAGAUUCAAGGUUUUGACAGCAACAGUAACGCCAGUGCUAGGCUUAACAGGAGCAGUUCCGUUCUCCCCCACCCAUCCUUUAAAGACACAACCAAAGCCACCUUCUCCGAGAAGACUUUCGGGUCUGAAAUUUCUAGUAACCAAAUUGAGAUCAAGGAAAGUAAACUGCUUGAGAAGAAGAAGAAGAAGAAACAGGGCCAGCUGGUUGCUCAUUUGAUUUCACAGAUUUUGAAAGCUCUUGUCAAUGGUCUUCCAGGUUUAGCAGGAUAAUGCUUAUAACUUUUGGUGAAAUAUUUUUGAACUUCUGCCAUUUGCAGCAUAUGUGAUCUCAGCUCGAGCUGGAAGACCAUUGACAAGCAAUUCAAAUAACCUGAUCUCACAGUAAGAACAUCUUGAAACUGCUUUGUAGCUCCCAUAAGUUUUGUUUUCAAGUCAUCACAAAAUGUUUAAAAUGUUUAUAAUGAUUUAUAAGAAUUUAUAAAAGGGUUUACAAAAUCACUUACAGGUGUUUGUAAAGAUUUAUAUAGAAAUUAUAAGGGUUUAUAACGGGUUUAUAUAAGAUUUGUAAGGGUUUAUAAAAGGUUUUAAUAGGUUUUGAAGAGUUUAUAUAGGGUUUAUAAAAAUUAUAAAGGUUUAUAAAACCAUAUAAAUAUUUAUAUAACUAUUUCUAAAGGUUUAUAAAACCAUUUAUGAACCAUUAAUAAAUUUUAUAAGAGCUUAUAAAGGUUCCCAGUGUGCUUUGAUAGUAGUCCCACAAGUAUAUCCCUGUUUGUUAUAACCUGUAAUUGCAACCAGGAACGUGAGAUAUGUACUGAAAUUAAAUUUUUCUUCACCUCAAGUUUGAAAUUCCUAGCCAAAUGCUCAAGUGAGAAGCAUAGGUAUGAACUUAUAAGCACAUCAUGAACAUAUCUCAGUUGAAAUUAGAUUUCCAGAAUACAAUGUGUACAGAGGGAGUAACAAACGUUUUUGGCACGAAUCAGGACAUCACUGGCAGCCAUCAACCCAGAAGAAGGCACACGAGGCUGCUGGAUCAUUGCUGCAACAUAUCGUUUCAAACAUUUGAGAAUAGUACAAAUACUGAGAAAAAAGAUAGUACAAAUACUGAGAAAAAAGAUCUUAAAUCAUUCACAAAGAGUUAAAAAACUAACAGUCUCGCCAUAGUCACGAGUAGUCCCUGUGGAGUUGAUGUAAAUGUAUACAGGCUCCUUGGGAUCCAGCCACUGAAGAUACAUUAGCUCUGAAACAAUGAAUCAAUUGAUGUGUCAACUAUCAAACUCAAUAAAUCAUAGUAUUGCUCAAGUCAAUUUUGAAUACAUCACCGUUAAACUUCCAAACUCAAGAACAUAACGAAGUUAAAGCUUAAUACUUGAUGAUCCUUUAAAUAGUCUAGGAAUCCAUCAUCUAGGGAUUGGAAUUGGAAGGGAUGAGUUCACCUGAGCAGGCGAAGACAUGAGCUGAGGCGAAUCGAAGAUGUCAAUAUACGGCGGCGGACUCGUAAGAGGAGGCGUUUGAUCACCAAAGGCUUAAGCUGCUCGACACAUUACGAGCUCUCGGAGCCGUCGGAUCUUCACCAGAUUCUGAGAGAUAUCGUCUCGUUCGUCUGAGCUUGUAGAUUCUGUCAAAUCUCGCCGGAAACUCGUCAACGUCGUCAGAUCUUGCCGGAAACUCGUCAGCAUCGUCAGAUCUCGCCGGAAUUGGUCAACGUGAAGAAUCUGAGAUUUGGAAAAUUUGACUUUGAAGAAGGCAUAUGUUUAUGUUUGAUUAAAUAAGGGUAUAAUGGUACUUUAGUCAUUAAAAUUUUAGUGGUAAAGUUGAAAAGUGUAAAGUUGAAAAGUGGUAUUAUGAAAGUGGUAUUAGUGGCAAUUUCCCUAAAAUUUUACUGAAAAUAAUAUAACAAUUUUUAAACUGUAUACUAAAUUGUAAUGUAUACAAUUGACACAUCUUUUUGAAUACCAUGGAUCUUCAUCAAAAUAUCAAUUUAUUAUCAUCAUCUUUGCACUUGUCUCUUUUAGUGAUUUCACUUUCCAUUAUCAUCAUGAAAUGUUAGAUCAAAUUCAUCAUUAGAAUAAAAAUUAUCAAAUCAAAUAAAUGUUGAAAGAAUAAAACACACAAAUUUAAUAUAAAACAGUUUAUAAAAAUGUAUACCAUUGAGACACAUUUUGAUUAAAUUCCACUUCCCACCUCUUUAGUUUUUGAUACACCAAUCAAAAAAUUUAAUAAAACACACACAUUUGCUUUAACUCCAUUGCUAAUUUAAAAUACUCAUAAAAUAUAUAUUUAGUAAUAUAUGUUUUGUGUGUUUCGUAAAAUCUUAUAAUAUAAAUGGUCUCCCAAGGAAAAUGGUUUUAUAAAAUUGAUGUAUAACAAGAAUAAUCCCCUAGGAGUUUUGAUGUCUUAGAAUUUAACAAACAUAAUCAACCGUGAGAUCUCUGAGCUGUGUUAUCUUAAAUCUCUGUAGGAAAACAAAUAAACCAUAUAUAUAUAUAUAUAUAUAUAUAUAUAUAUAUAUCUAUAUAUAUCUUUUAAAUUUAUUAAUUGUAUAAUAAUUCUGAAUGCAUACCAUGAUCCUUAGUCAUAAUUGUAUUAGUAGUUCGAUUCUAGAGGAAGUUUUACUGGAGGUAUAAAGAGUUGUAAGCUCACAGUUGCUUUAGCUUAGCAAUUUUGUGGCAUAUAAAUAUUUAAAAAGGAAUUUUUUUGAAUAAAAUACAAUAUUUUAUUGUUUCUUAUCAAUUUUUUUCCUUUUAAGUAUUUUUAUAGGCUAAAUAUUAUCUUUUGUUAUGUAUUUCAAUAAAUCAAAUUUAACAACUGAUUUAUUUGAAACAUUUUCUUACUUCUAAUAUGAUAAUUAUGACUAUUUUAAAACUAGUCAAUAUAUGUUUUAUUUCAAUUUUAUACAAACUGAUUAAGAUUAUAUGAUAUAUAAUGUUGUGAAUGUUAAUUUUUUUUGUUUUGGAAAGUUUGUUGACAAAAAAAAAAUUGUUUUGUUUUGACAUGACUCUUUGAUAAAAGUUUUUAGAGGGAACCAGAUUUUGGUGUGCCACAAAAACAAAGAAAAUAGUUAGAUUUUAUUUGCAUGCAAGAGAAGAAUCGGGAUGGAGAACAAAAUGAGCUAUUUCCUUAGAACAUUGGUUAGAUAAUGAGCCAGUGGAGGGAGAAAUGAGCAUAAAAUGUUUUGUUUUCAUCAUUUAUUACCAAUCAAAAUUUACUAUAAAAAUCACUUUUAUUGAAAAAUGUUAAAAUCAUUCAAAAAUGAAAAUACUUCAUUCAACAUUGAACUUUUUAUUUCAAAAUAUUUAAAGUUUGGGAGAAACAUCUUAAUCAUUAUGGAAAUGGAUAAAUGAGUCAUAAUAUCAACAUUUACAUUUAAAAUAAAUAAAUAAUUUUAAAUUUAUAGUAAAUUGUGGUGCGUCCAAUUGACACACAUUUAAAAGAUAUAUACAUUUGGCGAUUAUAAGACAUAUUAUUAGGUUUAUGUUAACUAGAAAAAUAAAUAUAAUAUAAAAUAUAUAUUUUCGUCAUAAAAUUUUAUAGUUAUAAAUAGAUAUAUAUUUAAGAUGUUUACUAUAAUUAUUUAUAUAAUAUAAUCUGUAUGUAUAGAAUUUUAUAAUAUGACUUAUUCUGUAAAAAUAGUUUUGACUGAAUAACAUCCCUUCAAAAAAUAAAAAUACUUCAAUUCACCGUAUCAAUUUUUUGUUUCCAAAUAUUUAAAAUCUUUACGCAAACAUUUCAAAUGAAUAAUGUACAACUAUAAGAAAUGUUUGAUUUUAAAUCUAAGUUAUUUAAAGAUAGUUUGGUUAUUAUUACAUAUAAGAAUUUAAUCUAAAAAAUACACACCUUAAUAAAAAGAUGGAAUUAAUACAUCUAUUGUUGGAUUAAAAUUAGAUGAUUUAUAAUACAAAGUUAAAAUUUAUAUAAUUUAAUAAUUAAUACUGAAAUAAAAAAUUAAUAAUAAAUUUAAAAUUGGUUGGGUUUACAUUAUUCCACACAAGGUGCGGACCAUUAUCUAGUUUUGAAUUACAGUAAAACUUUCAUCAUUAACUUGAUUU